rnacentral:rRNA from 1 species
GACGAACGCUGGCGGCGUGCUUAACACAUGCAAGUCGAACGCUGAAGCUCAGCUUUUGUUGGGUGGAUGAGUGGCGAACGGGUGAGUAACACGUGAGUAACCUGCCUCCUUCUUUGGGAUAACGCCCGGAAACGGGUGCUAAUACUGGAUAUUCACUGGUCUUCGCAUGGGGGUUGGUGGAAAGGGUUUUUCUGGUGGGGGAUGGGCUCGCGGCCUAUCAGCUUGUUGGUGGGGUGAUGGCCUACCAAGGCUUUGACGGGUAGCCGGCCUGAGAGGGUGACCGGUCACAUUGGGACGGAGAUACGGCCCAGACUCCUACGGGAGGCAGCAGUGGGGAAGAUUGCACAAUGGGCGCAAGCCUGAUGCAGCGACGCCGCGUGAGGGAUGGAGGCCUUCGGGUUGUGAACCUCUUUCGCUCAUGGUCAAGCCGCAACAAUGGUUGUGGUGAGGGUAGUGGGUAAAGAAGCGCCGGCUAACUACGUG